rnacentral:rRNA from 1 species
GGGAUUGCCUCAGUAACGGCGAGUGAAGCGGCAACAGCUCAAAUUUGAAAUCUGGCUCCUUCGGGGUCCGAAUUGUAAUUUGUAGAGAGUGCUUCGGGCGAGACCUCGGUCUAAGUCCAUUGGAACAUGGUGUCAUAGAGGGUGAGAAUCCCGUAUGCGACCGUGGCUCGAGCCCAUGUGAAGCCUCUUCGACGAGUCGAGUUGUUUGGGAAUGCAGCUCAAAAUGGGUGGUAAAUUUCAUCUAAAGCUAAAUACUGGCUGGAGACCGAUAGCGCACAAGUAGAGUGAUCGAAAGAUGAAAAGCACUUUGGAAAGAGAGUCAAACAGUACGUGAAAUUGUUGAAAGGGAAGCGCUUGCAACCAGACCUGCCCGUAGGCGAUCAGCCGCUGUUCUCAGCGGUGUACUCGCUCUGCGAUCAGGCCAGCAUCGGUUUCGGCGGUCGGAUAAAGACCUUGGGAAUGUAGCUUCCCUUCGGGGAAGUCUUAUAGCCCUCGGUGUAAUGCGGCCAGCCGGGACCGAGGACCGCGCUUCGGCUAGGAUGCUGGCGUAAUGGUUGU